rnacentral:rRNA from 1 species
GCAUAUCAAUAAGCGGAGGAAAAGAAACCAACAGGGAUUGCCCUAGUAACGGCGAGUGAAGCGGCAACAGCUCAAAUUUGAAAUCUGGCUCUUUCAGGGUCCGAGUUGUAAUUUGCAGAGGGCGCUUUGGCUUUGGCAGCGGUCCAAGUUCCUUGGAACAGGACGUCACAGAGGGUGAGAAUCCCGUACGUGGUCGCUAGCUAUUGCCGUGUAAAGCCCCUUCGACGAGUCGAGUUGUUUGGGAAUGCAGCUCUAAAUGGGAGGUAAAUUUCUUCUAAAGCUAAAUACUGGCCAGAGACCGAUAGCGCACAAGUAGAGUGAUCGAAAGAUGAAAAGCACUUUGGAAAGAGAGUCAAACAGCACGUGAAAUUGUUGAAAGGGAAGCGCUUGCAGCCAGACUUGCUUGCAGUUGCUCAUCCGGGCUUUUGCCCGGUGCACUCUUCUGCAGGCAGGCCAGCAUCAGUUUGGGCGGUGGGAUAAAGGUCUCUGUCACGUACCUCUCUUCGGGGAGGCCUUAUAGGGGAGACGACAUACCACCAGCCUGGACUGAGGUCCGCGCAUUCGCUAGGAUGCUGGCGUAAUGGCUGUAAGCGGCCCGUCUUGAAACACGGACCAAGGAGUCUAACAUCUAUGCGAGUGUUUGGGUGUCAAGCCCGAACGCGUAAUGAAAGUGAACGGAGGUGGGAACCCGCAAGGGUGCACCAUCGACCGAUCCUGAUGUCUUCGGAAGGAUUUGAGUAAGAGCAUGGCUGUUGGGACCCGAAAGAUGGUGAACUAUGCUUGAAUAGGGUGAAGCCAGAGGAAACUCUGGUGGAGGCUCGCAGCGGUUCUGACGUGCAAAUCGAUCGUCAAAUUUGGGGCAUAGGGGGCGAAAGACUAAUCGAACUAUCUAGUAGCUGGGUUCCUGCCGA